AUGGCAUGGGUCCGUCCCGUCCCGAGAGCCCAUUCUCACGUUUGGUCAGUAGAUGGAACCAGAACCCACCAGUCCCAGAAAAGAGAAUAUUCGGUCUAUAUGCGGAACCGACGCAUACCUCCGAUUCGAGCGAACGACAGGGAACGGGCCCCAUUCCUCUCACGUCUCCCCUUCUCAGCGCCGCAACCUCCCGCAUCUCUCCCUCCCUCUCGAUCUGCCACACUCCAGCGCCGCCCCUCACGCAGAUCUCCGGCGCCCGCUUCCCUCUCCCCCCUCGUCAUCUCCCCCCGGCGAUGGCGCGCAUCCAGGGCUUGGCGACGACCUAGCAGCAGCGACGGCCUAGCAGGCAGCGGCGGUGGCCUAGCAGGCGGCGGCGGCGGCGACCUAGCAGGCGGCGGCAGCGACGAACCAAUGGUCAAGAUGAGCAAAAGAAAAAGGAUGGCUAGGGGAGCCGCUGUUUUUGUUGCAUUAGCUGCAAUGGCAGUCAUUGUUCGAGCUAUAAUAAGGAAGAGGAGACCACGUAUAACCUAUGGCCCAAUGGAUCGCGGGUUGCUAGAAGACAGUCCACAUCUUAGUGUGGAGCAACAAUUGGCAAUGUUUUUGCAUACAAUUGGGCAUAACCUUCGGAAUAGAGUUGUUUCAGCCAAUUUUGGUAGAUCAUACGGCACAACAAGCAUCUAUUUUAGAAAGGCUCUUCAUGCCAUAGGCGAGCUUCGUAAUGAUUACAUAAGUCAACCAUCAUUGGAAACCCCCGCAAAAAUUGCAAGAAAUCAUCGAUUUGACCCAUAUUUUAAGGAUUGUAUUGGAGCUAUCGAUCGUACACAUGUGCGAGCAAGUGUUACCAAAGAUGUGGAGCCUUGUUUUCGUGGUAGGAAGGCCUUUACCACUCAAAAUGUGAUGGCAGCAGUAGAUUUUGACCUCCGCUUCACAUAUGUUUUGGCUAGAUGGGAAGGGUCCACACACGACGCGACCGUUUUAGCUGAUGCAUUAACUCGUGAGAGAGGCUUACAAGUACCACCUGGAGCCAACCCAGGGUUCUUGCCACCUUUUUCUGGCGUGAGGUACCAUUUGAAUGAGUGGGGCAACAAUCCGGUCCAAAAUGAUAAGGAGCUAUUCAACCUUAGGCACUCAUCUCUACGGGUGACGGUGGAGAGGGCUUUUGGAUUCCUUAAGAGGCGUUUCAAAAUUUUAGAUGAUGCCAAACCAUUCUUCACUUUAUCGGUCCAAGUCGACAUUGUUAUAGCUUGUUGUGUUCUUCAUAAUUAUGCACUAUCACAAGGGAUCGAUGAAUUCAUUAUACCGGAAGUGACAUGGACCACCCAACCAAUUCGAACAUCAACUCAACAAUUAAGUGACAUAGGGCCUUGGUAG
rnacentral:rRNA from 1 species